rnacentral:rRNA from 1 species
GUGCCAGCCGCCGCGGUAAUACGGAGGGUGCGAGCGUUAAUCGGAAUUACUGGGCGUAAAGGGCGCGUAGGCGGUCGCGCAAGUCGGGUGUGAAAGCCCCGGGCUCAACCUGGGAAUUGCAUUCGAUACUGCGUAACUAGAGUCUGGUAGAGGGAAGCGGAAUUCCGCAUGUAGCGGUGAAAUGCGUAGAUAUGCGGAGGAACACCAGUGGCGAAGGCGGCUUCCUGGACCAAGACUGACGCUGAGGCGCGAAGGCGUGGGGAGCAAACAGGAUUAGAUACCCUGGUAGUCCACGCCCUAAACGAUGAGGACUAGACGUUGGGGGGAUAAAACCCUUUAGUGUCGCAGCUAACGCGUGAAGUCCUCCGCCUGGGGAGUACGGCCGCAAGGUUGAAACUCAAAUGAAUUGACGG